GACGAACGCUGGCGGCGUGCCUAAUACAUGCAAGUCGAGCGAAUCAACAGGAGCUUGCUCCUGUUGGUUAGCGGCGGACGGGUGAGUAACACGUGGGCAACCUGCCUGUAAGACUGGGAUAACACCGGGAAACCGGUGCUAAUACCGGAUAAUCCUUUUCCUCUCAUGAGGAAAAGCUGAAAGUCGGUUUCGGCUGACACUUACAGAUGGGCCCGCGGCGCAUUAGCUAGUUGGUGAGGUAAAGGCUCACCAAGGCGACGAUGCGUAGCCGACCUGGGAGGGGGAUCGGCCACACUGGGACUGAGACACGGCCCAGACUCCUACGGGAGGCAGCAGUAGGGAAUCUUCCACAAUGGACGAAAGUCUGAUGGAGCAACGCCGCGUGAGCGAUGAAGGCCUUCGGGUCGUAAAGCUCUGUUGUUAGGGAAGAACAAGUACCGGAGUAACUGCCGGUACCUUGACGGUACCUAACCAGAAAGCCACGGCUAACUACGUGCCAGCCGCCGCGGUAACAC
rnacentral:rRNA from 1 species